UGGCAUAGCUGGGUAGCUAAAUACGGAAGGGAUAAGAGCUGAAAGCAUCUAAGCAUGAAGCCCCCCUCGAGAUGAGAUUUCCCACGGAUAUUAAGACCCCUUGAAGACGACAAGGAGAAUAGGUUAGGAGUGUAAGCACGGUAACGUGUUCAGCUGACUAAUACUAAUAGGUCGAGGACUUAAUCAA
rnacentral:rRNA from 1 species